rnacentral:rRNA from 1 species
UACGGGGGGAGCAAGCGUUGUUCGGAUUUACUGGGCGUAAAGCGCGCGUAGGCGGCUUUGUAAGUCGGUUGUGAAAUCCCCGGGCUUAACCUGGGAACUGCAUCCGAGACUGCAUGGCUAGAGUAUGGGAGAGGGAAGUGGAAUUUCAGGUGUAGCGGUGAAAUGCGUAGAUAUCUGAAGGAACAUCAGUGGCGAAAGCGACUUCCUGGACCAAUACUGACGCUCAUGUGCGAAAGCGUGGGGAGCAAACAGG